rnacentral:rRNA from 2 species
AAAUUGAAGAGUUUGAUCAUGGCUCAGAUUGAACGCUGGCGGCAGGCCUAACACAUGCAAGUCGAGCGGAAACGACACUAACAAUCCUUCGGGUGCGUUAAUGGGCGUCGAGCGGCGGACGGGUGAGUAAUGCCUAGGAAAUUGCCUUGAUGUGGGGGAUAACCAUUGGAAACGAUGGCUAAUACCGCAUAAUGCCUACG